UGGCUGAGCGGUGAAGCGCCUGGCUUUCGAACGGGGGGUUCCGGGUUCGAAUCCUGG
rnacentral:tRNA from 1 species